rnacentral:rRNA from 1 species
UACGGGGGGAGCAAGCGUUGUUCGGAUUUACUGGGCGUAAAGCGCGCGCAGGCGGCCCUUUAAGUCCGUCGGUGAAAGACCGGGGCUCAACCCCGCGUCAGCCAUGGAUACUGGAGGGCUGGAGACAGGUAGAGGCAAGCGGAAUUCCGGGUGUAGCGGUGGAAUGCGUAGAUAUCCGGAAGAACACCGGAGGCGAAGGCGGCUUGCUGGACCUGGUCUGACGCUGAGGCGCGAAAGCGUGGGGAGCAAACAGG